rnacentral:rRNA from 1 species
UACAGAGGUCCCAAGCGUUGUUCGGAUUCACUGGGCGUAAAGGGUGCGUAGGUGGUCGGGUAAGUUUAAGGUGAAAGCUCCGGGCUCAACCCGGAAAUGGCCUUGAAUACUAUCCGGCUCGAGGGUUGGAGGGGGGACUGGAAUUCUCGGUGUAGCAGUGAAAUGCGUAGAUAUCGAGAGGAACACCAGUGGCGAAGGCGAGUCCCUGGACAACACCCGACACUGAGGCAGCGAAAGCUAGGGGAGCAAACGGG